GUGCCAGCAGCCGCGGUAAUACGGAGGGUGCAAGCGUUGUCCGGAAUUAUUGGGCGUAAAGCGCGCGCAGGCGGCUAUGUAAGUCUGGUGUUAAAGCCCGGGGCUCAACCCCGGUACGCACCCGAAACUGCGUAGCUUGAGUGCAGGAGAGGAAAGCGGUAUUCCACGUGUAGCGGUGAAAUGCGUAGAGAUGUGGAGGAACACCAGUGGCGAAGGCGGCUUUCUGGCCUGUAACUGACGCUGAGGCGCGAAAGCGUGGGGAGCAAACAGGAUUAGAUACCCGCGUAGUCC
rnacentral:rRNA from 1 species